rnacentral:sRNA from 1 species
GCACGGCGGUCUGACAGGUUUCAUUUUUUU